rnacentral:rRNA from 1 species
UACGGAGGGUGCAAGCGUUAUCCGGAUUCACUGGGCUUAAAGGGUGCGUAGGCGGGCAGGUAAGUCAGUGGUGAAAUCUUUGGGCUUAACCCGAAAACUGCCAUUGAUACUAUCUGUCUUGAAUGUUGUGGAGGUGAGCGGAAUAUGUCAUGUAGCGGUGAAAUGCUUAGAUAUGACAUAGAACAUCGAUUGCGAAGGCAGCUCGCUGGGCAAAUAUUGACACUGAGGCACGAAAGCGUGGGGAUCAAACAGG